UGGGGAAUUUUGGACAAUGGGCGAAAGCCUGAUCCAGCAAUGCCGCGUGUGUGAAGAAGGCCUUCGGGUUGUAAAGCACUUUUGUCCGGAAAGAAAUCCUUGGCUCUAAUACAGUCGGGGGAUGACGGUACCGGAAGAAUAAGCACCGGCUAACUACGUGCCAGCAGCCGCGGUAAUACGUAGGGUGCAAGCGUUAAUCGGAAUUACUGGGCGUAAGCGUGCGCAGGCGGUUUGCUAAGACCGAUGUGAAAUCCCCGGGCUCAACCUGGGAACUGCAUUGGUGACUGGCAGGCUAGAGUAUGGCAGAGGGGGGUAGAAUUCCACGUGUAGCAGUGAAAUGCGUAGAGAUGUGGAGGAAUACCGAUGGCGAAGGCAGCCCCCUGGCCAAGUACUGACGCUCAUGCACGAAAGCGUGGGGAGCAAA
rnacentral:rRNA from 1 species